rnacentral:lncRNA from 1 species
CCUGGCAUGACUGCUUCUAACAGCGACCAUUUCAUUAAGUUUUUAAGUGCCUGGUAAUUGCUUGGUUAUGACCGGUGUCUGCUCCAUGGCAGCCUCUUCCUGAAGAAAUGCUGAGGCAGUGUCACGCUGGUGUCUGUCCUCCUUACAGAAUGCCUGAACAGUUCCAUUGACUCAAAGUGAAGAUCAAAAGAACCAAAUGACAGCAAUAGCCAAGUGUAAUCAUCAGUAACCCUGUGUUCUAUCCACAGGUCAUCUUUGUAUGAGAGCUGAAACAAGAAGACGAAGGGUCACCUUUUUUGACCUUAGCUUGGGACGUGUGCAAAGAGUGACAGAGUUUUCACUACUGUGUGUCUAUCCAGGAGCCACCUUGAAAGCUCCACAAGUAUUAAUUUGGGGAUUACAAAGACACUUUUAGCAAGU